CAGCAGCCGCGGUAAUACAGAGGGUGCGAGCGUUAAUCGGAUUUACUGGGCGUAAAGCGUGCGUAGGCGGCUUCUUAAGUCGGAUGUGAAAUCCCUGAGCUUAACUUAGGAAUUGCAUUCGAUACUGGGAAGCUAGAGUAUGGGAGAGGAUGGUAGAAUUCCAGGUGUAGCGGUGAAAUGCGUAGAGAUCUGGAGGAAUACCGAUGGCGAAGGCAGCCAUCUGGCCUAAUACUGACGCUGAGGUACGAAAGCAUGGGGAGCAAACAGGAUUAAAGACCCCAGUAGUCCCUGUCUCUUAUAC
rnacentral:rRNA from 1 species